GUGUUGUAAGAAAGGAGAGAAGGUUAGCACUCCCCUUGACAAGGACGGAUGAGACCCUUGUGGUCUAACAACACACAAAGGCAUGUCUCUCUACUUUGGAGACAAACCAUUUUUUUU